rnacentral:rRNA from 1 species
UCUGGUUAUGAUGUGUUUUUGGGUUACACCCCUUCCCAUUCCGAACAGGAUGGUUAAGCCAAUUACAGCUGAUGGUACUGCAUGGGGGACCGUGUGGGAGAGUAAGUGGUAGCCAGGU